GCUCCGCCUCCCGGGUUCAUGCCAUUCUCCUGCCUCAGCCUCCCCAGCAGCUGGGACUACAGCGCCCACCACCACGCUCGCUAAUUUUUUUUGUAUUUUUAGUAGAGACGGGGUUUCACCGUGUUACCCAGGAUGGUCUUGAUCUCCUGACCUCAUGAUCUGCCUGCCUCAGCCUCCCAAAGUGCUGGGAUUACCGGCGUGAGCCACCAUGCCCGGCCGAAUUCUCUUUUUUCUAAUUCAAAAGGUUACGUAAUCAAUUUCUAUCCUAGACUUAACCAGUCAGAACCCCAUCGGUCUUAUUUCUAUGAGUUUUUCAAUUUUCUUGAGCAUUUGCUUACUCCUCGUUUAACAAAAAUGUUUUAGAUUUAUUUGUACUUUCUGUAACCCAAUCCUAGAAUCAGCCAUUUCUGAAAGGACCCAUAUUUCCUUUGCAGGAGAAUAUUAUUUAGAAUCAGGGGCACUUGUUGCUACUAGGGUGGUAUCACUUUAGGGCCUUUCAGGAGACAUCUAAAUACAGCAUAAAUUCACACCAAUACCACUCCUUGCAAUCUCACAUCACAGAGUUCUUGCUUGUCUUCCCUCAUUCCAUGUUUGUCUCUUCCCCCACAGUCAGGACAUCUGUGUAUUUACUUGUUUGCUUCAUUUUAUGAUACACACCUUAGAAUUUCAGAAUUGCCAAACCCAUGCCCUCCCAAACACCAAAAUUAAGUAGAAUUUGACAUUUCUUUGUAGUUCUUUUAUGUCUUUAGACUGAAAGUAUUUAUUCAAAAAGUAUUGUAUUCAAAAGUUGGGUACAUUUCUUUUUUCUUCCUGUGUAGUUAUUUUAAUAAGAUAAAAUAGAAUUCAGUUUAUUUGCUUUGUGUCCAAUUUUAGUUUUUCUCCUACUUCUAUUUGAUUUUACUUUAUUUCAUGCAUAAUAUUUAAGUUCCCAAAAGUCAAAACCUCUAACCCUAUAAAGAGGUAUACUCUGAAUCUCACUCCAUCGCCCAGGCUGGAGUGUGGUGGCACAAUCUCAGCUCACUGCAAGCUCUGCCUCCCAGGUUCACGCCAUUCUCCUGCCUCAGGCUCCCAAGCAGCUGGGACUACAGGCGCCCUCCACCAGGCCCGGCUAAUUUUGUUUUUGUAUUUUUAGUAGAGACGGGGUUUCACUGUGUUAGCCAGGAUGGUCUCGAUCUCUUGAUCUCGUGAUCCGCCUGCCUCAGCCUCCCAAAGUGCUGGGAUUACAGGUGUGAGCCACCGUGCCUGGCCCUCUAUUUCACUUCUUAAAAGAUAUUCCUUUUCUUUCAUGGCUGCAUCUAUUUUGUGCAUAUGCCAUACUUGAUUUGACCAUUUCCUAUAUGUUUUAGGUUGUUUAUAGUAUUUUAAGUUAAAAACAAGGCACAACACAUUAUGCAUAUGUAUUUUCACAUUGCUUGAGUUGUAUCUUCUAUAGAAAUUUUAGGAGUGGGAUUUGUUGGUCAAAAAGUAAAUACAAUGUAAUUUUGUUAGAUACUGCAUGCCCCCCAAAUCUGGGCACAUAGUAUUAUUAGAUAAUCCUUAUGGGAAUGAUAGCUGGUGGAUGGACCACAAAACCUCUAGGCUGAGAGGUUAGGUCAUAGAGCACAUUUUUAAAUUAAGUAACAGAAAUUGACUGUGUACUUCUUAUACUAAAAAUAUAGGUACUGGGAAUGAAAUUAAAAUAUUCUAGGAAUCCUGGGGGACAUCUACAUUAAGGGGUCACUUCAGUAUGGACUCCAUGGUCUCCUGCUCCUCUUAUAUACCCAUUACUUAUAUACCCAUUACUGUUCAGUAAUGUAAUAGAGAAGUUCCCACUGACAAAAUUCUAGUUUACACAGAAUUGUUUCUAUAUCAUGUGAGAAACAGCACUGGGUAUUCUUACGUUUUAUCAGUUAGUAGUGAUUAGAAAAAGAAGGAAGUAGAGCUUGGGAAGGGAAAGGAAAAAGCAGAAGGCAAACCAAGAAUAGAUGCAGCCUCAUCUUGCAACACUGUGGGAAGAAGAAAGCCCACGCUCAGAACCUCCCUCCUUGUGAUGUAAGUCGGCAGAGUGAUGAGGUGAACUUACACAACUUUAAGUUAUGAGAUAGAAGGGGUAAUAAAGUACAGCACAGAAACCCUCCGAACAUCUGAUUGAAAGUUUGGAAAAGGAAAAUCCUGAAGAUUGGGAAAUUAGUUGUAUAUUGCCUGUUAUUGGGAAUUUAGAAUUAUCAGUAAUAAAAUAACAUGAUUUCAUAUAUUAUUUGGUAACUAUAAAAAUAUGAGGACUUUCUUUUUU
rnacentral:lncRNA from 10 species